UACGUAGGGUCCGAGCGUUGUCCGGAAUUAUUGGGCGUAAAGGAGCUCGUAGGCGGUUUGUUCGCGUCUGCUGUGAAAUCCCGAGCUCAACCUCGGGCCUGCAGUGGGUACGGGCAGACUGGGAGUGCGGGUAGGGGAGAAUGGAAUUCCUGGUGUAGCGGUGGAAUGCGCAGAUAUCAGGAGGAACACCUGAGGUGAAGACGGGUUGCUGGGCUGACACUGACGCUGAUGCGCGAAAGCUAGGGGAGCAAACGGG
rnacentral:rRNA from 1 species